AUCGUUCUUCGAAUUCAAGUCACAAGUUCUCCAAGUCACAAAUGAAUUCAACAAAAAACGAGCUAACAGAAAAAUAGCGAUUUCCAGAUUCAGGGUAAGGGAGGUACUUGUUACUUCAAGAGCGAAUAAACGCCGGUCACCGUCGUCCGAGGGAGUAGUCGCCACCGGAGAAUCCACCACCGAUCAACUUCGUUUAUUCUCCGUGUGUCGAGACUCACAGGUGGUUGUAUCAUGGAGUAUUGGAAACACGUUGCUGCAUUUCAGCCUUGCAAGUGACCUAUGUGCUCCUGUCCAAUUAUCAAAUUGACCCUGGAAGCAACAUUAUCCCAACAGCAGGAUGCAGGGAUCCAUGAUGUUAUCAAGAAUGUUAGGCAGUACAAUUGCCUUUUUGCUGGUGGUGCUUGCAGUUUCAUUCUGCAAGUGCUUUAGUUGCCUUUAUUUGUCAAGAGAUUGCUUCAAGCAAUGGUGGAUCCUGAUAGACCUGUUGCUUAUCUUAGAAGAUUGCUUUAGUUGCAGUGUUUCUUGGUGCUCUUUACACACUUAGCCCUUUUGACAUCCUCCCAUGAUGUUGGAGCCUGUGAUCAUCAGCUAUAUACAAUGAUCUUGAUUACAUUCGUUGUUGCUAUUUUUCAUAUUUUUGGUGUAUUUUAUAUGGUAUUUGGGACAAAUUUGAAUUGAAUAUGGUAUUUAAUGAAAAAAUUGGCAGUUUUUAA